rnacentral:tRNA from 1 species
GGGUUUGUAGCUCAGGUGGUUAGAGCACACGCCUGAUAAGCGUGAGGUCGGAGGUUCAACUCCUCCCAGACCCA